UUCUAACCAAAACUAAUGAUU
ensembl:piRNA 21ur-6947 ncRNA